rnacentral:rRNA from 1 species
AUAAGGGGGCUGCCCCUAGUACGGCGAGUGAGAGGGAAGAGCCCAAGAUUGAAAGCUGGCGUCUUCGGCGUCCGCAUUGUAAUCUCAAGAAGUGUUUUCCGCUUCGGACCAUGCCUAAGUCCCUUGGAAAAGGGCAUCAUAGAGGGUGAUAAUCCCGUACAUGGCAUGGAGCGCCCGAAGCUUUGUGAUACGCUUUCUAAGAGUCGAGUUGUUUGGGAAUGCAGCUCAAAAUGGGUGGUAAAUGCCAUCUAAGGCUAAAUAUUGGGGAGAGACCGAUAGCGAACAAGUACAGUGAUGGAAAGAUGAAAAGAACUUUGAAAAGAGAGUUAAACAGUACGUGAAAUUGCCAAAAGGGAAGGGUAGGAGGUCAGAGAUGCGGCCUGGGAUUCAGCCUUGCUUUUGCUUGGUGUUUUUCCCAGUUUGCAGGCCAACGUCGGUUUUGGGCACUGGAGAAUGGUGGGAGGAACGUGGCACUCUUCGGGGUGUGUUAUAGCCUCCUACUGGAUACAGCGACCGGGACCGAGGACAGCAGCGUACUCGCAAGAGCGGGCCUUCGGGCACCUUUACGCUUAGGGCGUUGGCAUAAUGGCCCUCUACCACCCGUCUUGAACAACGGAACCAUGCAGGC